rnacentral:tRNA from 1 species
GAAGGUAUAGCUCAGUGGUAGAGCACUGCUUAGCAUGCACGAGUUCCUUGGUUCAACCCCCAGUACCUCUG